rnacentral:rRNA from 1 species
CUGGCUCAGGACGAACGCUAGCGGCGUGCCUAAGAAAUGCAAGUCGAGCGAAGAUCAGGAGCUUGCUCCGAAGUCUUAGCGGCGAACGGUCGCGUAACACGUAAGCAACCUGCCCUGAAGUGGGGGAUAGCCCUCCGAAAGGAGGAUUAAUACCGCAUGUGGAUACUUUCUUGCAUAUGAGAGUAUCUAAAGCAGCAAUGCGCUUCAGGAUGGGCUUGCGGCCUAUCAGCUAGUUGGUGUGGGUAACGGCCCCACCAAGGCGACGACGGGUAGCUGGUCUGAGAGGAUGGUCAGCCGGACUGGGACUGAGAUACGGCCCAGACUCCUACGGGGGGCAGCAAUUAGGAAUCUUGCGCAAUGGGCGAAAAAGCCUGACGCAGCGACGUCGCGUGACCGAUGAAGUCUUUCGGGAUGUAAAGGUCUUUUCUGGGGGAAGAAGGAUGUGACGGUACCCCAGGAAUAAGCCCCGGCUAACUACGUGCCAGCCGCAGC